GGCGGUGGCUUCCUGUGCUUUUCGGCGCGAUCCAACACGAGGCCGAAGCAGGGCUAGACGGCUUCUUGGCGUGGAAAAAGGGGGUCACAAGCGUUCGACAAGGGUUUUAUAGGGGUUGAAUCGUGCGCAUAAGGCAAUGACCCCGGGGAAUUUGGGAUUGGGAAAGAUAUUUUCCUACGGUUGGGAAUCCUCCCUGGAUACGGCAGGAGGUAGGGGAUGAAGCCGGCUGACGAGCGGGUCCACUGGUCAGUGAAAGGAAGAGAGAGGGGAAACACCGACGGGCGGGGCCCAUCUGCCAGUCAGAGAGAAGGUGAGGGGAGGAGAAAACGCGCCUGGGCUGCUGGGCUUCGGGGAAAGAAACCAGGCCUGCGGGCCACAAAGCAGCGGGGGAGUUUUUUUUCCUUUUCUUUUGUUUUGUUUUUUUUCAAAGCCUUUUCAAAACAGUUUAAAAUCAGUUUGGAAAUAUUUUGAUUUUGCCCAAAAUGACACAAUGCAAUGAAAAUAAAUGCGUCAAUAUGAAUGCACAACAAGUUGCUAAAUCCUAUAAUAAAUUUUUAAUUUAAUGAAAAUAUUAUUUUCCUAUGUUUCAUGAGCACCAAAAAUACAAUAAUUAAAUUAAUUUAGCUUUAUUUCCAAAGGACAAAUUUUUUGGGUGUCACAUGUAUGCUAGUUGUAGGUUUGAUUGUUGAAAUGAAGAACUAGCAUGCAUAGGUAGUGUAACUAGACUUUUUCACGAGUGGUACUAGAACCUUGUUAAUAAUGUUGAUUGUUGACACUAGCUAACACAACUUAGAUACUAGGUUGUCAUCCCUAGCAUGGCGCCAGAGUGUACAAAGAUAUUUAUAAAUGUAAAGGCUCUCUAGAAAAUAAUCUAUUCUAUCCGCAAGUGCACAGAUAAAACACCUCAUUGUAGCAUUUCACCAGGAUGAGUAUUCCAGGUAUCGUUAUUUAUAAUUUUGCUCAAGGGAUCUCAAGAAGAUGGAAUGAAAUCAAGGGGCAAAAUCUAUCAAGGCAUAAACUAGAGAUAAACUUGCAAGAACAUGAUUACUAAUGAGAAACUCGUCACACAGUCACUUACUUUAGCAGGGGGUAAACCAUAAAGAUAAUGAUAAUAAAGUAUAAGUUCAUGGGAUAAAGAGCACAGCGAUUAGAAAAUAGACUACUCCUCAUAUAUGUAGGUGAUGUCGGAUUAGCUAGAGAAUGGAUUCUAAGUUACCUACUAACUACUAAGUCAUAAUCUACUCUAGUUAUCUACAAGAUCAUGUAUAGCAUAAAAGACUCUUCAUUCAUGUAUAAGGAACAUUGAUAAAGUAAAUCAGAGCAUCGCAUGACUUACUCCACAAUACCGGUUCUGCCUGUCCUAUCAACGGAGGGUGGACUAUAUAAGAAUCAACGAAGCUGUCACUAUCGCGAACUACCACACGACCCGGCCAAUAGGAUACAUUUGCAGAUAAAUAACAUCUAAGCACCUCGCUUACAUGCGAUCUAUCACCUAACUCCCUCGCGUCAAGAGCUAAGCGCUUUGCAAACUUAUACAUAAACUCAUUAUCAAUUAGAACUAUAUCAAAUAUAGAACUAGAACAAACUAAGAACAUAAUAAUUAGAGACAUAAUGCAAUUAGAACAAUAGAAUUAGAGAAAGAUAUGAAUAAUACCAAUCUUUAUUACCAAAGAUCCGAAUCCAGAGCGUAGUACUCUACUUCUCUAAUUGCUAUCUAAUCAACCUCUAAACUUGAAGGAUUAGGGAGUAGCUAAUUCUAAUUCUCUAUGGGAGAGAAGCUCUAAACCCUAACUUUUAUGGCUACCUCUGAAUAAUGAUUUCUCCUCUUCUCCUCCAGGGGCCAGGGGGUCUGGUUUUAUAGUCCCCUCAAGUGAACGUGAGCCAUUGGAUCAAACCGACAUAGAUUGUAUGGUUUAGAUUGAUCCUUUAGGUCGGUGGAGUCUUGUCCCGAAGCAGAGUCCUGGUUGGACUCCAACCCUGGGCGGGCGCCCAAGGGGGGUGGGCGGGCGCCCUGCCCCCUAGCCCGAUUCGCUUCUCGUUCGUUCCCGUGGCUUCUGGACCCUUCUACAUUGAGGAAAAUUGCGCGGCACGUAAUUAUCUCGUUGUAAACAUGACAUGUGGGCCUUCUCUCCAUAUUUUCUGAUAAACCCCUGCAGAAAUAGAUAAACACCAAAACUCGUGGAAUUCUGUCAGAUAAAACCCUAAUUCUAGAUGUUUGUUUCAUAUUGAUCCUUUUUCAUGUUUAUUUGAUUAUUAAUUUUAGUACUUAAGGACCGUCAACAAACUCCCCCAAGCUUACCCUUUGCUCGUCCCUGAGCAAAUAGCUAAACUCAGACGGAUCAGGAGUUGCUUUGAUGUUUUCUUUCCUGACAGGCACACGUGCUUUUACAUAAAAAUUCUUCCAGAUUAGAGUGAAGUGUUAUGGAGUUUAGUACCUGCACUUAAAUCUUAAGUAAUUGAAAGACAAAAUAGUUAAGUCAAGCACUAUCCCUCCUGUCUAUACUUCACCUUUGUUCUAGAGUUUUUCAUAAGUUUUCAAAAUAAAACUCAGAGUUCCCAGCAUUGAUUCUCUCGAGUCUCUCUAUAUGUAGUAUUUGUGGAUCCUUACCAUAAUGUCACUUACCUAUAGCUAAUGGGAUAUUUAAGUGGGGCUCAUAGGAGUGGAAAACAGCUCAUACAUAUACUGUCUAAUCGAGCCAUGGAUCCAAAAGGAACUCAGCAUAUAAUUAAAUCAAGAUGUGCAUGUGUGAUGGAGUAAAUGAUAGUGAUUGUGAUCAUGCAUAAGUGAUAAUAAAACUUAGUUCUCAUUGCUCCUCAUAUUGCUAUCUCUCCUCCUCUUUGAUCUUUGCUUUGGGAGAACAUGGGCUAUCUCUUUUUCUUCUUCUUCUUCUUUUUUUUAAGUGGGUAGUAGAUACCCCUAAUUCUACUGUCGGACACUUGUCCAUUUUUUCGCUCAAGUGGGUAUCUUUGUACCCCUAAUUCUACUUCGGACACUUAUCCAUUUUUACCUCUCGUCUCACUCUUUUUCUUUCUUUUUCGAGGUUCCGGGCACUUGCCCAUUUUUAUUUCCUCGUAUAUUUUUGCAUAACCCAUGCCUCUUCUGCAUUAAAUCCUUUUAGAGAGAGAGAAUAACAAUAUUCAGGACAGUGAGUGAUAAUAUUUUUAGCAAUUUUAAUGAUUGAUGAAGAAUGCUGUGGUAGAUGUGUGCAAGUGAAUAUCUUAAUUUAACCACAUGAAAAGCUCCUAAGGGUCUACACAGCUCGAUCAAACUCAAUGUGAAUAUAGUAAAAGAUGUUAUAGCAAGUAUGGCUGUGGUAGGUAGUUUUGUAUGCUAGGAACUCAUCAUGUGAUUUGUAAGUUUUCAAAAUAAAUCUCCAGAACUUAGUGUAGUAGGAACAAGAUAAACAGUAGCUCAACUUUAUAUCAUGCCUUUCUCUUACCUAGACUUUAGUUUUAUGCUUCCCAAAGAUAGUAAUUUUAGUUUUAGUAAUUCCUAGAAGAACUCUAACAUAGAAGCUAGGUACUUGUAAGUAAGCAAACAGAGCAACUGUUCAUCAUUUCCAUCAUGAAUCUUUUUGGUCUUUUAUUUUUCUAGAGAUUAAACUUAGCAGAAUAAAGCAUACUUAUCUACACACUCUUUUUAUUUUGUUUUCAUGUUUAUAGAAUACAGUAAAUUAAAGCAAGAAAUAUUUAUUUGGUUUUCUAAGUUUUUUCCUUUUAAGAUAAAUUUAAUACUAAGACAGAAUAGAAUAAAUAAGAAGAGCAAAUAAAAACUUACUUGAUAAAUUUGGGAGGAACUCCCCCAAGCUGGAUGUUGCCGUCGGUCUUACCCGAUGUUCCAGAACCGCAUCAUGGUUGUGAUGUUGUCGUUCAUUGUUGUUGUAUCUUGUCUCAGCUCUUCUACUGCAGCUGCAUGGUCCUGGUUCCAUUUUUGUUGCUCUUCCAGGAGUCUUCCAUGUUCUGCUUGCGUGUUCUGGAUGUGGAGGAGGGUGUUGUUGGUGCGAGUGAAGAAAGCACCGGCCUCUUGAUAGUAGUCAUUCGUGAAAGCGUAGGAGGCGUCGGAGUAUCGUCCUGCAUCAAAUUGGGGCGGAGGUCUGGAUCCUGAAGCUCCAUAUGGAUCAGUGGAGUACCUGCCCGUAUGAAAAGGCGGGUUUGUCCACUGGUGAUCUUGGCUCUCCGGCCAUGUCUCUUCUGUUGGCUCUUGUGGUUGCGCAUGUCGAGCCCAUGGGUCUCGAAGGACUCGAGGGUUGUAAUUGCAAUAAUGCAGGUGCGCUGCUUCUUCUGGUCCAGGAUCAGCUCCAUACCAGGUGCAUUCUCGGUGAGUGGUUAUCCUUUCAGAUGCCACUCGCUGUGGAGUUCUCUGGUUCACUGGUGUUGCUGCAAUCUCAAUCAAAAAGUUUUGCACAGCGUAGAGGCCAAGGUUCGGGUUAGGUAACCGAAUCUUGCCUUUAUCAUCAUACAGCAUAUACAUUAUAUUUCCCUCUUUCUUUAACAUCCGAGCUUGUCUAAAUGUGUCAUAUCCAUGAUAAAUUCUUAAUUCUUCUAUGAUGUCCCGUGACGAGUUUUCUAGUAAGUGAAGAUUAGUGGCUAGACGAGUGAUAAGUGAAGUACAUCCUACUGGUCCUUGAAGACUAGGUAUACUAAGCCAAUGUGAAACUAAUAGUGUAACAGGUGAAGUGGGUACUUUACUAAUAGCAGCAUAUAAAAGUUGUAAAUCUCCUACUCUUACUUUCCUAAUAUCAUCGCGAUAGAAAAGAUUGUACCCAAGCCAUUUGUGAAACAUCCUAAGAGUGGGGUGUUCCAUGUCACUGGUUCGGGCUUGACUAUAAAAAUUAUCUCUAGAUAUUUCUCUCCAAAACUGGUGUCUCUCAAAAUUGGGUAAAUCGGAGUCAAUGUUCAGGAUGCAUCUUGAAGAGAAACCAAGAUGGUCGCUCAGCUCUCUCCAAGACAAUAUAAUCUCCUGUUUGAACAUCCAAAAAACAAUUCCCCCCUCAUAGUAUUGUAAAGUGCAAAGAAAUUCAAGGGUGAGAAGACGAGAACCCAGCUCAGUUAUAUUCCAAAAAUUUGUCCAACCUAACAUCUGGAAAAUUAAGUCGAAUUCAGUGUCCAUACCUGUUUCUUGUAGUAAGAUUGGAUCGAUAGUAGGGGUGUGAAUGAAGUCUUUGUUCUUCAGUUGCUGAUAGACUCCCUUCUCUCUUCGGGUCUUCAGUCCUAGGUCUUCUAUCUUGAGAAGGACCUUAACUUGCUGACCUGAUGAAGAUGAUGGAGCUUGUGUGGGCGUCGGGUCGACGCUCAUCUCUGAUGGUUGUGAGGAGUGUCGGGGUGAACUCCUUGUACCAAUGUUCUUGAUAGCCUUCCCUGCAUUCUUCACCUUCUUAAACAUCCUGCAGACAAAAGUUGGCAAAAACACAACUAGUGGAAAAUGUGAGAUAAAAUGUUAGUGGUUAGCCAUCCGGAGUGUCAGUAGUCCAGGGGUUAGUUGUUCAAGAUAAAUUUUUUAUUUUAGCAGAGCCUCCCUAAACAACUUUUACUUCCGCUUAGACAGCGGGAUCACUACUUGCUAAGUGAUAUUCACUCUCUGUCAACUUCCUUCCCACUCUUCUCUUUCUCUCUAAUGUCUUCUCUCUUCACUACAAGAGCUCUUUCUGGAAACUGAUACUUGUGUGGUUUUCUGGAGUGCUUGUGUGGAGAGGAUGGAGGUAGAAGGUGGCUAUUUAUAGGAGCAAGAGGGAGCAGGGCGGGCACCCUUGGUAGGUGGGCGGGCGCCCACUCCUGGUGUCCAUCCUGGGUGUACCUUCUCCAUUUGCUUCUUUGCUUUGAUCUCACGCAGAAUAAUGUUGUGUUGGUAGUGGUUGGACGGUGGAAAGAUGUCAGGUGAGUGGAAACAUAUUGGUGGAUGAAAUUAUAUGAUGGGAUGUAUGUGAGGUGAAGUGUAUGACAUGUGGGACCCAAAGAGUGUGGGUCAUGCUUCUUGAAGAUUAAUAUAAUUAAAUAUAAUGCAGGAAAAUCUAUGAAAAUUAACACUUAAUGAAAAUGAUAAUGAAGAAUAUUUUUGUGCCUCCAAAAUAAUUAAUAAAUAUGGGUUGUUACACCACGAAUAUUAUUUAUAUGGGGCUUUUUGAUUAUUAUAAUUAUGCUAUGACUAAUGCAAGAAUUAAUUAUGCAAGAAUUAAAUAUGAGAAAAUUAAUAACGCGGAUAAAUACCGAUUUACCUCCCGGUGAGGGUUUGGGAUUUUUAGGUCCCCCAAGCUGGACCUCCAAAUCUUUUAAUCUUCUGAAUUACCUUCCUCCGGAGAUGGUGUCUCCAGUGGUUCUUCAUGAACUUCCUUCACUGUAGAGUCUCUCUCUGGUCUGGGUUUGAAUGUGAAGUGUUCUUCUUGACCGUUUAUGUUAAACUUGAUUUCUCCCUUCCCGACAUCAAUGUGGGCAUUGGCAGUGCUCAGAAAUGGCCUUCCAAGGAUGAUGGACACUUUUGAGUCAGGACUCAUGUCCAGUACUACGAAGUCUACUGGCACAAGGAAAUCUCUGAUCUUGACUGGAAUGUUCUCGGCGAUACCCAGCGGGUGUCGAACCGAUUGAUCCGCUAGUUGUAGGCACAUUGAAGUUGGUUCUAGGGUCGCAUGCUCAAGCUUUUUGUAGACUGAUGCUGGCAUCACACUGACACUUGCUCCGAGAUCACAAAGUGCAUUGUUGAAAUGUUGGUUUCCGAUCGAGCAGUCAAUAGUGGGACAUCCGGGAUCUUCCUUCUUCUUUGGUGGUUUAUUGAGGAUGGCCGCACUACAUUCUUCUGUCAGCUUGAUAACCUCAGUGGUGGGCAGUGGCCUCUUCUUGUUAAGAAUAUCUCUGAUGUACUUUGCAUAUGUAGGUACCUGUAUGGCAUCAAGCAGAGGUAUGUUGACAUAUAAUUUCUGAAUGACCUCUACAAACUUACCAAACUGCUCAUCCGACUGCAGUCCUCUGUUUCUUCUAGGAAAUGGAAAAUAGUUGGUAUCGUAAAAAUCUUUCCUCAUUUCUCUGGUUCUUGGUGGUUGUGGCAGAUCUUCUGCUUCAACUGGGCUUUCUUCUUCUAUCACUGCUGGUUGCACUGGUGCUGAUGUUCUUUGUCUCUCUUUUGGGUAUGGGGGAUCUCUGGUAGCUUUGCCUCCUCUAGUAGUUAUAUUCUUUUCAUGCUCAAGGUUAGUAGCAACAGGCAGUGCAGCAGCUAUCUUUAUUAAUUUAAGCUCUACCCUUUUAUUAAGAGUGUUUUGCUCAUCAAAGGCAGUUAGUAGAAAAUCCAUUUUAUUGUGUAUAUCUUUUAGAGAUGAUUCAUUUGUAUCUAGCCUUUGUUUAACUUCAUCAUUAAUUUUGGUUUGCUGAGCAAUUAUCUCUUUUAAUGAAAGUUGCUUGAAAGUAUUACCUGAAUUCAUACCUUUGCUAUUGGGUUGACUCGAAGUUGGUUGAUAUUUGUACGCCGUCUCAAUGGCCCUUUGAUCUUCUUUGAACUUGGCCCUCUGGUCAAUCCAAUGGAGCAAAUUUUCCAUCUUAGUUGAUAAUGCAUUUACUUCGUCUGGUAUUUUUUCAGUUUGAUGACAUUGUUGAGCUUUAUCUUGGAACCAGCUUUGGUUUUCUGCUAUCUUAUCCAAAAGUAUCUCUGCUUUUCCAAUUGUAAGCUCCAAGAAUGAUCCUUUAGCAGAUGCAUCUAGACACUCAUGAGCCUUCUAGGUUAAUCCAUGGUAGAGGGUCUGCAUAAGUAACCAUGUGGCCAUUCCAUGGUGAGGACAAUCUGAAAUGUAUCCCUGAAAAUGCUCCCAUGCUUCUGAAAUGGCUUCUGUCUUCUGCUGUUGAAAACUGACAAUAUUUCCUCUUAAGGCAGUUGUUUUGCCUAUAGGGAAAAACUUCGAUAGAAAGGCAUCUGACAAGUUCGUCCAGUUGUUGAUGUUAUCUUGAUGAGUGUAGAACCACUUCCUCGCUUUUCCUUCUAGUGAGAAUGGAAAAAGGCGAAGCAGUAUGACGUCUUUGUCAACUCCGUUGAUGUGGAUUGUUCUUCCAAUCUCUAAGAAAUUCUGCAAGUGUGCACUGGCAUCUUCAUGUGCCUUUCCACUGAAUUGUGUAGCUUGUACCAAAUUGAUGAGGCUUGACUUGAGCUCAAACUCAGGUAUUCCUUCUUCUACUGCAAAUCUUGGACCAGUUGGAAUGUUGUCAAGACUUGGAGCAGAGAAUUCUUGUAAGGUCUUUUGUGCCAUAGCUUCAGCAAUUGGUAGCUAGCUUCUUCUUCUCCUGAUUGCUUUGGUUCUGAUGAUGAAGAGUUGAAUGUACCCAAAGUCAAUCCUGUUAUACCCUGUAUAAAAAUAUAAACAUAGAAAAACAACAGGGUGAUCCUGCCAAAGCAGAGGUGCCUUGUUAUGAUUUCUCACUUAGUAGCUGUUUUUGAUGCAAUUAUUUCUCUAUAGUCUAGUAUAAUAUUUUAUAUGAAUAACCUUGAUUGAUUUUCUGGCUUCCCUAUAUAUUACCCUUUUGUUCCCUUUUAUGACUUAUUCCUGAGACUCGUAUAAUUCCUAUAAGAUUCCCCGGCAACGGCGCCAGAAAUGCUUGUUGACACUAGCUAACACCACUUAGAUACUAGGUUGUCAUCCCUAGCAUGGCGCCAGAGUGUACAAAGGUAUUUAUAAAUGUAAAGGCUCUCUAGAAAAUAAUCUAUUCUAUCCGCAAGCGCACAGAUAAAACACCUCAUUGUAGCAUUUCACCAGGAUGAGUAUUCCAGGUAUCGUUAUUUAUAAUUUUGCUCAAGGGAUCUCAAGAAGAUGGAAUUAAAUCAAGGGGCAAAAUCUAUCAAGGCAUAAACUAGAGAUAAACUUGCAAGAACAUGAUUACUAAUGAGAAACUCGUCACACAGUCACUUACUUUAGC
rnacentral:lncRNA from 1 species